GCGAGAGGCGGCUGCGGGGCUGUGGGGCGCUUUGACUCUCCUUCCACGCAGCCUCCUUGGACUCCUCUCCUCCGCCCUCCGGACUCCGGUCUCCUCGUGGUCCCCUGGCUUCCCAGAUCCCCCUCCUUAUGGCAGCAGCCCCCCGAGUCUCCGGCGCAGCUUCUCGGCGGACGACCCUCUCGCUCCCGGGGCUGGGCCGGGUCACUGGAUGUUGCUGAAACUCCGGAGACCAUGCGCGGGUUUGGCUGCUGCUUCCCCGUCGGGUGCCACUGCCGCCGCCGCCGCCUCUGCUGCCGCCGUCCGUGGGAUGCCCAGUAGCCCGCUGCCCGGCCCCCGCGAUCGCGUGUUCUUCGGAAGCCGUUUGCUACUGCAGAGUUGCGCGAACUAGUCAUGGUGCUGUGGGAGUCCCCGCGGCAGUGCAGCAGCUGGACACUCUGCGAGGGCUUCUGCUGGCUGCUGCUGCUGCCGGUGAUGCUACUCAUCGUAGCCCGCCCGGUGAAGCUCGCGGCUUUCCCUACCUCCUUAAGUGACUGCCAAACGCCCACCGGUUGGAACUGCUCUGGUUAUGAUGACAGAGAAAACGAUCUCUUCCUCUGUGACACCAACACCUGUAAAUUUGAUGGGGAAUGUUUAAGAAUUGGAGACACUGUGACUUGCGUCUGUCAGUUCAAGUGCAACAGUGACUAUGUGCCUGUGUGUGGCUCCAAUGGAGAGAGUUACCAGAAUGAGUGCUACCUGCGACAGGCUGCAUGCAAACAGCAGAGUGAGAUACUUGUGGUGUCUGAAGGAUCAUGUGCCACAGAUGCAGGAUCAGGAUCUGGAGAUGGCGUUCAUGAAGGCUCAGGAGAAACCAGUCAAAAGGAGACUUCCACCUGUGAUAUCUGCCAGUUUGGUGCAGAAUGCGAUGAAGACGCUGAGGAUGUCUGGUGUGUGUGCAACAUCGACUGUUCUCAAACCAACUUCAAUCCCCUCUGUGCUUCUGAUGGGAAAUCUUAUGAUAAUGCAUGUCAAAUCAAAGAAGCAUCAUGUCAGAAACAGGAGAAAAUUGAAGUCAUGUCGUUGGGUCGAUGUCAAGAUAACACAACUACAACUACUAAAUCUGAAGAUGGGCAUUAUGCAAGAACAGAUUAUGCAGAUUUGACGGGAACUGGAUUAACAGAAGAGUCAGAAGGCCCAAGUAAAGAUAAAGAAUAUGAGAAUGCUAACAAGUUAGAAGAAAGUGCAAGAGAGCACCACAUACCUUGCCCAGAACAUUACAAUGGUUUCUGCAUGCAUGGAAAGUGUGAACAUUCUAUCAAUAUGCAGGAGCCAUCUUGCAGGUGCGAUGCUGGUUAUACUGGUCAACACUGUGAAAAAAAGGACUACAGUGUACUGUAUGUUGUCCCCGGCCCUGUACGAUUUCAGUAUGUCUUAAUCGCAGCUGUGAUUGGAACCAUUCAGAUUGCUGUCAUCUGCGUGGUGGUCCUCUGCAUCACCAGGACAUUUAAAAUACAAAAUUGUUGAAGACCUUUAAAGUGAGAGGAGAUGAGCUCACAACUUGCUUGAUCGCAUUGUGCUGAGUCAUUCUUCUGCCUUACUGAGUGAGCAGCGCAAGACUAGGAAAUGCCCCAGAAGCAACAGAAUUCACAGACAGAAGCAAAAUACAGGGCACUACAGUUCAGACAACACAACAAGAGCAUCCACGAG